UGCCUAUACCGGGCCGCCGGUCGGCAGAGCGAUAAACGCGGAUAUUGUACCCGAGCUGAGCUCCCGGCGAGCAGGGGGGGCGCGACGGUGCGCGCCGAAGGGUUGGGAGGGCGAGGCUGCCCGGACCCGCCGCCGCCGCAGAUCUUGGGGAUAUUAGCGAAUACUCCAGAGACAUCCUGGAGGACUGGCGCGAAUAAGGGUUUCAUGUGAUCAGUGGGUGGACAUGAGGCACAUGAUCCUAACCCGCCUAAGAAAUCCGACCUAUCGUACCGAUGGGACGUACGAAACAAACUUAACUUUUUUUUUUUUUUUCUCUCCCAAAAGAAAAAAAAAACUUAACCUAUAACGAUGCACCACUGGGUCAAGGCGAAAGGGAAUCCGGUCCUAAUUCCGGAACCAGGCUGCGGCUACGUCCGAUUGUCUAUCAAACGAUCUAAACCCUCGUUUCGAAAAACUUUCGGUCGCGGUAACGCGACACAAACCGGAGAAGCUGUCGAGAACCCCGGGAAGAGUUUUCUUUUCUGCUUGAGGGACCGAGACCCUGGAAUUCCGUCGCGGAGCGAGAGGGUUUUGGCACGACACGCUGGUAACAAGGCGAUCCCGAAGAGCGGCGCGUUUCCGCGCCGUCCGUGGUCGUUCUCGACUGGCCCUUGAAAAUCCGGUGGGAGGGUUACGUUUUUUGGACGUUCGCGCCUGAUCGUACCGAUAUCCGCAUCAGGUCUCCUAGGUGAACAGCCUCUAGUCGAUAGAAGAAUGUAGGUAA
rnacentral:rRNA from 1 species